AACUUUUUACAACGUAUCUCUUGGUUCUGGCGUCGAUUAAGAACGCAGCGAAAUGCGAUAAGUAGUGUGAAUUGCAGAAUUCAGUGAAUCAUCGAAUCUUUGAACGCACAUUGCGCCCCUUGGUAUUCCAUGGGGCAUGCCUGUUCGAGCGUCAUUUGUACCUUCAAGCUCUGCUUGGUGUUGGGUGUUUGUCUCGCCUUGCGCGUAGACUCGCCUUAAAACAAUUGGCAGCCGGCGUAUUGAUUUCGGAGCGCAGUACAUCUCGCGCUUUGCACUCAUAACGACGACGUCCAAAAGUACUUUUUACACUCUUGACCUCGGAUCAGGUAGGGAUACCCGCUGAACUUAAGCAUAUCAAUAAGCGGAGGCU
rnacentral:misc_RNA from 1 species